GUGGGCAGCUGCACCGCAACAUCAAAGGGCUCCAGUGCCGAACCUCUGCAAUCCACAGUUCGUACAUUGUUUUUCCCAGAAGAGACAAGCCGGGGUGUCUGGCCCGGGACACGGGCUGUGCAGGUGCUGGGACCAGAGAUGCUGCCUUUCUGCUGUCUCAUCCUCCUUGGGGGCCUCCUGCCCCCCUCCCAGGGCCUCCUCAACCUGGGCAGUGUCCUUGGUCUGAGCCCAGCACAAUCCAAAGACGGUCUGCUUGGUACCGGUCUUCUCGGCAGUGAAGGUCUCAUCAGCAAAAAAGGUGGAUUGCUUGGCACAGGCCUUCUUGGUGAAGGUGGGCUACUUGGUACUGGCCUCCUUGGCAGAGGAAGUCUGAGUGGAGAAGAAAGUGGAGGUCCCCUUAAUGCAGGAAAUGAAUCUAGCAGAUCUGGGGUCCUUGGCACAGGACUCCUAGGAGGACAACCUGGUAGCAGUGGUUUGCUCGGCACAGGCAUCCUUGGUGGGGAAGGCCUUGGC